GUAUAUUCGUUGAUAGGGAGAGUAAACUUGAACGAUUUCCUAGAGAGGCUCUGUUUGGUGAAAAGAGUCAAAUCCGCAAAGUUGAAAAUGGCCUUGGAGAAUAAUUUGUCGAUAAGUAGAUAAAUUCGGUCGUCGUUCAACCGUUAAACUGAACCCCAAUCUCUCAGGAAUGAGACGUUGGCUAGAGGGAAGGAAACUUCCGAAUAAAGGUGGUACCACGAUUCGUCGUCCUUUUA
rnacentral:ncRNA from 1 species